ACAACUUUCAGCGACGGAUAUCUCGGCUCAGGCACCUAUGAAGGGCGCAGCGAAGCGUGAUAGUCCUUGUGAAUUGCAGAUCUCCGUGAACCAAUGGCCCCCUGAACGCGCAUUGCACUCUUGGGACUUCCUGAGAGUAUGUUUGCUUCAGUGCUUAUU
rnacentral:rRNA from 1 species